rnacentral:lncRNA from 1 species
CCUCUCUUUCUCUCCUCUCUAAAGUAACUAAAUGAAUCUUUUAAAAAUACACCCAACUUAUUAGACUUGUUCAUUUCUUCUUCUGACUAUUCUGUACACUUUUGGAUCUUUGUAUAUAAAGUUUUGCUGUAGAUGCACAUAUAUUCAGGAUCAUUAUGAUGUGGUGAAUUGACAUUUAAUCUUCUAUAAAGUUAAAUGAAAAUUGCAAGUUUAUAUAAUGAUAAAAGUCUACUUCAUCAGAUAUUAACAUGACUUCUUUUAAAAAGAUGUUAUUUAUUUAUUUGAGAGAGAGAGAGCAUGAUGGGGGAGCAAAAAGGGAAGGAGAAGUAGACUCCUCACUGAACAGGCAGACCAAUGCAGGGCUCUAUCCCAGGAUCAUGGGAUCAUGACCAGGGCCAAAGGGAGAUGCUUAACCAACUGAGCCACCCAGGCAUUCCUUAACAUAGCUCUAAUGGCUUUUAUAUGCUUACUAUUUGCAUGGCAUAUCAUGUUCCACCUUUGUACUUUCAACCUUUGUGUAUCUUUAUAUUUAACAUACAUCCCAUGUAACUUGCAUGGAAUGGAAUCCUGAUUUUAUCUCACAUGAUCACCUCCGUCAUGAAAUUCAAUCGAAUUAUUAGUAUAUUUGGGUAUUAGACAAUAGUAUUUCUGUUUAUCCCACUUUUGUUUGAUAUUUUCCUUUCUGUGUUCUUCAGGUUUAAUAAAUUACUUUUUAGGAUUUCAUUUUUUUCUUCUCUAUUGGUUUUUUAGCUUUGCCUCAUUUGUGUGCGUGUGUGUGUGUGUGUGUGCGCGCGCAGUGGUACAUUUCUGGUUUGACUGGGUUAGACUACUCACCCUGACAGCAUUCAUUCAAGUGGUACUCAGAGAUUUAUAUUCUUUCUGUUGCAUGACAUUGCCAUUUUUAACAUUGGAUCAUACAGAGUAUUUUAUUGCCUGUUUUGGAGGUGGAAAAAUCACCCAUAUAUUCCAAAGCCCAGUCAUAUGUCACAAUAUAAAUUAAUAGGAAGUUAAGAAGGCCAAGUGAAAUGUAUUUAAUGUAGAGAAGAAAGAGAAAAUAUCCCAGGUGGAGGAAAGAGCAUGAACAAUGAGCAGGAGAUAAUAUGGUGUAAGUUGAGCAGAUGGGUUAUUUAAGACAGUGAUGAUAACUACAGUUGAGUUGAUAGAAUGUCCAGAUUACAAAAGUCUGGAAAUUCAGCCAGAAAUGCUGAGAUUUAGCUGUAUCUUUGGAAAUAUGUAUCUUACAUAGUGUACGGCUAUUCAAUAUCUCACCUAUAACAGGAUUAUCUACAUAUUCUGUCAAAUGUGAGUUGCCAUGUCUUCCAGUAGGUGGAAUAUAUUUCCUUGUCCCAUAUUUGGCCCGGGCGUGUGACUUUUUUUAGCCAACAUAGUCUGAGCAAUCAUGACAUAUGCUUCAUGCAGAAGUUCAAAUUUUAAUGUAUGGCUAAGUUAGCUCUCUUAAGCUUAUAACCUCUCUCAUGAGUAAAACAUGUCCCCAAGAGGCCCUGCAUCUUUAUUCUGGGUCCUAGAAUGAGAAGUCAUUAACAGAGCUGCAGCCAAUAUUCAAAUUACAUGCAAAAUAAAAAAAAAGAGAGAAAUAAGUACUAAUGUUUUAAGUAAAAGUCAACUGAUAUAUUUAGCACCAAAAUAUAGCUUCUAAUUUUGUUGUUGUUUUUGAGAGGAUAGAUGGCAGAACAAAAAAAGGAAUUAUGUAGUAUUUAGGACCUGCGUUUCAGAAAUAGAUAAAUGUGGAUAUAACCAUUCUGUUCUCAUCCUACCAUCAACCUACCAAGUAAAUCACAACCUUAGGUUUUAAAUAAAAUAGGAAAUAUAAUCCAUAUUCCAUAGCACUUCAGUGAAAUAUAUAGUAAAUACAUGCCCAGUGCUAAAAUUUAAAAUGUGUUUAAAUGUCAUCACUAAUAUAGAUACAUUAUUGAUGUGUACCAAACCAAAUACUUGAAUUCUGCUAUAUACACAGGCUUGAAGAAUGCAGUGUGGCCUGAUAGAAAGGUUCAGGUGUUGGUAUCCCAAAGACCGGUGUUCAUAAUUCUAGCUUUGCCAACUUAUUAAAUGUGAUGUUCUUUUGCAAAUCACAUAAACCUUAGUCUCCUUGCCUCCAAAUUGUAGGCAAAUCAUACUGAUUUCACAUAAUGAUAAGACAUAAAUGUGAUCUUAUGUGCAAGAACCUAUUUAAUUCUGGACCUGGAAUAAAAUGGAUCCUGCAAAGUACAUGUGCCUUACGAAGAAACUUGCAGAGGAAUGAAAUACAGAAAUCGAAACACCUGAUGAGAGUCAUUUAAUCACCUUGGGAUGCAGAGAUUUCAACUGGAAAAUUGGGAUGCUACUUCAAAAGCAUUUUAUGUGUUGACUAAUUUACAAUCAGGAGGCACUUUAAAACACCAAGCAUCCAGCUUCAUAAUAGCAUAUUAAUAGCGAUAAAAACUAGCAUGCCAUGCAAAUUCUAAAUCUAAAACACGUUCUAUAUAAACUCCCUUGGCAGAUUCAUUUGGCUCUAAUAAAACCACUCAUUUUCUAUCAUAAGAUGCAGUUUGGUGUUACUCUGGGUUAUCACAUAGCUAUUUUAUUCUACUCCAGGGAAGAAUACUUGAGUUGGAUGAAAUGGUCCCUCUGUGAGGUUACUAUAUAUUCUUUAGUUAAACUGGUUGACAUGGAGAAGCUUAAUUAGCAAUUGUAAAGAAUUUCCAACAUCUUCAGAUAGAUUUCCAGGAAUAUUAACUUGCAUUAUGAUUUUUGAACUCCAAAUACUUAUUUAUUAAGAAUAUAUAGACUUCCUUUAAAAAAAAUCUGUUUUAGUCACCUAAGAAUGUGUACUCCUUAAGAAAAAAUGUGUUAAUAAGAUCUUUAUGCUUUAUUAUUUGAAUGCAUGCAUGUUUUCUAACAGAAAUGAGACGAACAUGUUAAAUAAACAGAAGUAGAAGAGAUUAUUUGAGAAUGAACACGUGUGUGAAAUAAUGAGCACCCAAUUGUAAACAAAUCUUCAAAAUUUGGGAGUGACAUCUUUGUAGACACACAGAUCAGGGGUAUGGGAAGGAAGAGGCAACAAUGACAAAAACAAAAAUUGCAUAUGAAAGAGAAAACUCUCAAUGUGGGAUAUGACUACACACACAAAAUGAAACGUGUUUAUAUGUCAAUAUAAAAAAAUUAGAAAAAAAGGAGUUUUACAUUUCUCUGUAGAGAUAAAACUGUUCAAAGAAAAUGGAAACAAAGCUAUAAGGUAUGAUUCCAUUUCGGUAAAAAUAAAACAAAUCCUUGAAUCUUCUUUAUAUGAGUAUAUGUGCUUGCAUAUGUCUGUAUGAGUGAAGGAAAAUAACGUACUAUCCCGUUAAAAUUGGCUUGGAGAUCUGUGUGGUUGAGUGAGGAUUGAAGGCAAAUAAGGGGGAUUGAGCUUUGUCUUUUUCAUCUUUUGUUGUGUUAGCUUUAUUUGUUA